GGCGAGGCCGCGGGCGGGCGCGGCGGUGGUUGCCGGGCAACGGGCGGUCUCCGCGCAGCCCCGCGCCCCCGGCCCGGCACACAGGUAGGAGCCGGCCUCCCCCCGCCGCCAGCAGGAGGGAGGGGAGAGCGAGUGGGGGCGGCAGCCUGCAGGUGCUUUUGUGUGUGUGGUGGGCGCGGGGACUGGCGUGAGGGGUGAUUUUCCCUGUGGUACCCAGGAGUUGUACGCGUGCGUUUAAGGGCCCUUAGGAAAGGCCUGUAUGGUCUCUGGGCUGGUACGUGGCUAAUGCGUCCCAGGGCUUGAAGCCCCCAGGAGUGUGUGUUGCUGUAGAAAGGCCUAUACAGAGAUGGCAAGCGCCUGAAGGCCUCCGUUUAUGUCGACGUGGACAAUGAACCAGCAGGAUAUGGAGCAAUCAAAUCAGAAUCAGCACUGUGAGCACCUGUGUCUUCCAAGAUAAAUAGACAUGAACGGCAGUGACUAGUAAAUGAAAGUCUGUAGGAGAGGGAUGGGAAACAAAAGAUGCAGAACAGCAGUUGCAUUGAAAGAAAAGCAUAUUGAGAUGGACCUGAAGUGGAAUCCUGGCAGAGAUUCUCAUCCAGCCUCAGCUGCAGUCCGGGUGACUGAUUUGAGUUGGCGAGGCAACCUAAAUCCCAGUCCACUGAUUAAAGAUGAUGGAGAGCUACUUAUGGAUGAAUACCUUCCCCCAGGAAACUGGUGAGUAGAUAUCCAACUUUUUAAUGAAGUAGAAGAGGCAAACUGGCAUAUACAGAGCUGUAUUAACUUAACCUU
rnacentral:lncRNA from 1 species